rnacentral:rRNA from 1 species
UACGUAGGGGGCAAGCGUUGUCCGGAAUUAUUGGGCGUAAAGAGCGUGUAGGCGGUCCGGUAAGUCAGCUGUGAAAGUCAAGGGCUCAACCCUUGAAUGCCGGUUGAUACUGUCGGGCUAGAGUCCGGAAGAGGCGAGUGGAAUUCCCGGUGUAGCGGUGAAAUGCGCAGAUAUCAGGAGGAACACCGGUGGCGAAGGCGGGAUCCUGGGCCAGUACUGACGCUGAGGAGCGAAAGCGUGGGGAGCAAACAGG